ACGCUCGACACCUACGGGAGGUAGCAGUGGGGAAUAUUGCACAAUGGGGGAAACCCUGAUGCAGCGACGCCGCGUGGAGGAAGAAGGUCUUCGGAUUGUAAACUCCUGUUGUUGGGGAAAAAGAGGAUGGUACCCAACAAGGAAGUGAUGGCUAACUACGUACCAGCAGCCGCCGGUAAGUCUGAGCGGGCGUGGCAAGGC
rnacentral:rRNA from 1 species